CAAAGGUUUGGUCCUAGCCUUGUAAUCAACUGUUACUUAACUUAUACAUGCAAGUUUCCGCACCCCUGUGAGAACGCCCUUAUUCUUCUACUCGAAACAAGGAGCUGGUAUCAGGCGCAAUUAUUAGCCCAAAACACCUAGCCAUGCCACAUCCACAAGGAAGUUCAGCAGUAAUUAACAUUGAGUAUAAGCGUCAGCUUGACUCAGUUAAAGUAAAAAGAGCCGGCAAAUACGGUGCCAGCCGCCGCGGUUACACCACGAGGCUCAAAUUGAUUAUUUUCGGCGUAAAGCGUGAUUAAAGUUACUUAUUAACUAUAGUUGUAUUCUAACUAAGCCGUGACACGCUUGUUCUUAAGAAACUCAUAAACGAAAGUUACUAUAUAUUUAUCAACUUGAAUCCACGACAGCUGAGGCACAAACUGGGAUUAGAUACCCCACUAUGCUCAGCCGUAAACCUUUAAUUACACCCGUAUCGCCAGGGAACUACGAGCUAAGCUUAAAACCCAAAGGACUUGACGGUACCCCAUAUCCACCUAGAGGAGCCUGUCCUAUAAUCGAUAACCCCCGCUUAACCUCACCAUUUUUAGCUAUAUCAGCCUGUAUACCUCCGUCGUCAGCUUACCCCGUGAGCGAUACUUAGUGAGCUCAAUGUCUUUACAUCAACACGUCAGGUCAAGGUGCAGUAUAUGAAAUGGGAAGAGAUGGGCUACACUUUCUAACUUAGAACAUACGAAAGACUAUCUAUGAAAUCCUAGUCGGAAGGCGGAUUUAGAAGUAAAAAGAGACUAUAGAGCUCUUUUUAACUUGGCACUGGGGUGUGUACACACCGCCCGUCACCCUCUUCAAAGCCCAAAUAUAGUAUUUAACUCAUACCAGCACACCAGAAGAGGCAAGUCGUAACAUGGUAAGCGUACCGGAAGGUGUGCUUGGAAACAAAAU
rnacentral:ncRNA from 1 species